rnacentral:rRNA from 1 species
GACGAACGCUGGCGGCGUGCUUAACACAUGCAAGUCGAGCGGUAAGGCCCUUUCGGGGGUACACGAGCGGCGAACGGGUGAGUAACACGUGGGUGACCUGCCCUCAGCUCUGGGAUAAGCCUGGGAAACUGGGUCUAAUACCGGAUAUGACUCCAUGACGCAUGUUGUGGGGUGGAAAGCCUUGUGCGGCUGAGGAUGGGCCCGCGGCCUAUCAGCUUGUUGGUGGGGUGANGGCCUACCAAGGCGACGACGGGUAGCCGGCCUGAGAGGCGACCGGCACACUGGGACUGAGACACGGCCCAGACUCCUACGGGAGGCAGCAGUGGGGAAUCUUGCGCAAUGGGCGAAAGCCUGACGCAGCGACGCCGCGUGAGGG